rnacentral:lncRNA from 1 species
CGUGGUUUAACAGCGCAAAAACGCUUCUGGACAGAUGCAAUCUUUCACACCUAACUGAAAACGACUCCGCUAUCUCAACAAGAUUCAUACUAGACUCUGUAAAAAGUAAACUUGUAGCUGACUUUAAAGACAAGUGGUUUAACGAAAUAAACAAUAUGCCAAAGUUGAGGACAUAUAAACAUUUAAAAACCGAAUUUUAUGCCGAGCCAUACGUACAAAAGCAUUUAACAAGGACACAAAGAUCUGCAAUCGCUAGAAUUCGCUGUGGUACUUUCCCACUAGAAGUCGAGCGAGGACGCUAUAGAAACAUUCCAAUCGAACAACGAGUAUGUAAAAUGUGCAAUUCUGGAUCUAUUGAAGAUGAGCAACACUUCAUCUUAUACUGUGAUCGUUACUCUGUUUUGAGAAAUAAACUAUUUACUGCAAUAUCACCAGAUCCUGCUUAUCCUCUACGCAUAAAUGAACUUCCUCCAAAUGCUGCCUUAAAUGAACUGUUAUCUAACAACAACAAAAGUAUAGCGAACUUUAUCUUGGACUGUGAUCGUAUC